rnacentral:tRNA from 1 species
AGUGGAAUGGCUGAUUUAAGGUGAUAAAUUGUAAAUUUAUAUAUGAUAAAAUUUUAUCUUCCAUUA